UACGUAGGGUGCAAGCGUUAAUCGGAAUUACUGGGCGUAAAGCGUGCGCAGGCGGUGAUGUAAGACCGAUGUGAAAUCCCCGGGCUUAACCUGGGAACUGCAUUGGUGACUGCAUUGCUGGAGUAUGGCAGAGGGGGGUAGAAUUCCACGUGUAGCAGUGAAAUGCGUAGAGAUGUGGAGGAAUACCGAUGGCGAAGGCAGCCCCCUGGGCCAAUACUGACGCUCAUGGCACGAAAGCGUGGGGAGCAAACGAGG
rnacentral:rRNA from 1 species